rnacentral:rRNA from 1 species
GAGACAGCAGUCGCCACGGUAAUACAGAGGGUGCGAGCGUUAAUCGGAUUUACUGGGCGUAAAGCGUGCGCAGGCGGUUUUGUAAGACAGAGGUGAAAUCCCCGGGCUCAACCUGGGAACUGCCUUUGUGACUGCAAGGCUAGAGUACGGCAGAGGGGGAUGGAAUUCCGCGUGUAGCAGUGAAAUGCGUAGAUAUGCGGAGGAACACCGAUGGCGAAGGCAAUCCCCUGGGCCUGUACUGACGCUCAUGCACGAAAGCGUGGGGAGCAAACAGGAUUAGAGACCCCCGUAGUCCCUGUCUCUUAUAC